rnacentral:rRNA from 1 species
UACGUAGGGUGCAAGCGUUGUCCGGAAUUAUUGGGCGUAAAGAGCUCGUAGGCGGUCUGUUGCGUCGGCUGUGAAAACCCGAGGCUCAACCUCGGGCCUGCAGCCGAUACGGGCAGACUAGAGUUCGGCAGGGGAGACUGGAAUUCCUGGUGUAGCGGUGAAAUGCGCAGAUAUCAGGAGGAACACCGGUGGCGAAGGCGGGUCUCUGGGC